UCCCUGGUGGCUCAGGCGGUAGAGAGUAUGCCUGCAAUGCAGGAGACCCAGGUUCAAUCCCUGGGUCGGGAA
rnacentral:tRNA from 1 species